rnacentral:rRNA from 1 species
UACGUAGGGCGCAAGCGUUGUCCGGAAUUAUUGGGCGUAAAGAGCUCGUAGGCGGUCUGUUACGUCCGCUGUGAAAACCCAGGGCUUAACCCUGGGCUUGCAGUGGAUACGGGUAGACUAGAGGCAGGUAGGGGAGAGUGGAAUUCCCGGUGUAGCGGUGAAAUGCGCAGAUAUCGGGAAGAACACCAACGGCGAAAGCACUCUGCUGGGCCGACACUGACACUGAGAGACGAAAGCUAGGGGAGCGAAUGGG